UACGGAGGAUCCAAGCGUUAUCCGGAUUUAUUGGGUUUAAAGGGUGCGUAGGCGGCUUUGUAAGUCAGUGGUGAAAUAUGGCAGCUCAACUGUCAAGGUGCCAUUGAUACUGCGGAGCUUGAGUACAGAUGAGGUAGGCGGAAUUGACGGUGUAGCGGUGAAAUGCUUAGAUAUCGUCAAGAACACCUAUAGCGAAGGCAGCUUACUAGGCUGUAACUGACGCUGAGGCACGAAAGUGUGGGGAUCAAACAGG
rnacentral:rRNA from 1 species